ACCCAGUUGACGAGUCCUAAAAAUAGAACGAAACAUGCGUCCUAGAU
rnacentral:hammerhead_ribozyme from 1 species